rnacentral:rRNA from 1 species
UACCAGCACCCCGAGUGGUCGGGACGAUUAUUGGGCCUAAAGCAUCCGUAGCCGGUUCUGCAAGUCCCCCGUUAAAUCCAGCUGCUCAACAGAUGGGCCGCGGAGGAUACUACAGAGCUAGGAGGCAGGAGAGGCAAGCGGUACUCAGUGGGUGAGGGUAAAUCCGUUGAUCCAUUGAAGACCACCAGUGGCGAAGGCGGCUUGCCAGAAUGCGCUCGACGGUGAGGGAUGAAAGCUGGGGAGCAAACCGGG